rnacentral:rRNA from 1 species
AUUGAACGCUGGCGGCAUGCUUUACACAUGCAAGUCGAACGGCAGCGCGGGCUUCGGCCUGGCGGCGAGUGGCGAACGGGUGAGUAAUACAUCGGAACGUGCCCAGUAGUGGGGGAUAGCUCGGCGAAAGCCGGAUUAAUACCGCAUACGACCUGAGGGUGAAAGCGGGGGAUCUUCGGACCUCGCGCUAUUGGAGCGGCCGAUGGCAGAUUAGCUAGUUGGUGGGGUAAAGGCCUACCAAGGCGACGAUCUGUAGCUGGUCUGAGAGGACGACCAGCCACACUGGGACUGAGACACGGCCCAGACUCCUACGGGAGGCAGCAGUGGGGAACUUUGGACAAUGGGCGAAAGCCUGAUCCAGCAAUGCCGCGUGUGUGAUGAAGGCCUUCGGGUCGUAAAGCACUUUUGGCGGGAACGAAAAGGACUGUGCCAAUACCACGGUUCGAUGACGGUACCCGCAGAAUAAGCACCGGCUAACUGCGUG